CCGACCUUAGCUCAGUUGGUAGAGCGGAGGACUGUAGUUGGAAUGCUGAUAUCCUUAGGUCGCUGGUUCGAAUCCGGCAGGUCGGA
rnacentral:tRNA from 1 species